rnacentral:lncRNA from 1 species
CUAACUAUUUUCACUGGUAGGUCGCUCGUUAUUUACUCCAGCAUGCCACCACAGUUCUCUAACUUUAUCUUUGCACUUCCUAGCAAUAUUACGAACUCAAUAUAUUUAAUUACAUACGUAUACGGGCAACACCUCAAUCAAUUAAUCCUUACUCAAAUUUAUAUUUUCAUCCUAUCAUGAAAUCAUCUUCAAUUAACUCACAUCUUAAUACAUUUUUACCAAAAUUACUUACAUCCAUUGCUUACGAAAUUCCUUAGAUUAUAUCACUGGCAACUUAUUUAUGAUGUCACGUGCCUACUUCAACCUUUCUAAAUAAUUUUUGCCUAAAUCCAUCUUAUAUUUCCACACAUAAUCCACAUAUAUGGCAACAACAAUUAUUCUCACUUUCACUCAAUUAUUUCCUAGUUUACACACAUUGUUAUCUACCUAACUUUCAAUACUUUGUUUCUUAAUCCUCCAUCCACAAUAUUCCUUUUUUUAUUUCUUUCAAACAACAUGCCAUACAAUCUUAACAAUUUUCAACUAGCUUAGGCAAAUAAAUCCUUUCAACAACCAUAGUUCCUCACAAUAUUCCACUAACUGUAGGCUUUAAAACAUAGUGUUAAUCUUACCGUUUUCCUUUUCCACUUUCAAUCCUUCAUGUACCCAUGGGUUUAUUAGCUUACAUGUUACCAAUUUUUCUCCAAUGAAGCCAAUCUUUGCUGCCACUAGACAUUUCUCUAAGUCACUAACUCAUUUUCAAAUACUACUCAAGCCAAAAAUAAGAAUUCUUACCGUUCCUUGCUUGAAUCACCAAAACCAAGCUUUUUCUUCCUUUCUCUCUUUUUCUUUCUUCUCCUCUUAGGGUUUUGGUGUGCUGGAAAUUGGGGUUAAAGGCUGCAAAGUUAAUGGUCAAGAAGUUUGGAGAAGAAAGGAAAAGAAAACAUAGAAAGGAAAGUGAAGAAAACUUGAUUUCAUGGUGGAUAAAGAGAAAAUGGCAUGGAAGCUUCAAGAAUGGCAUGGAGCAUGGAUGAAGAAGAAGAAAAAUCUGCUGGGGGAAAGGAUAAGGUCAAUCUUUGCCUAAAAAAAUCAGAGUCAAAGCUUCCUUUGGAAGCUUUGACCAAACUUUACAUAAAAUUACUGUUUUGCCCUAUUUUUGUUUCCUUCCAUUUUAUUUUAGUCCUCC